UGCUGCAGCCUUUCACACAGAAUAGUAUCAGAAAUGUGAAACUUUAAGAUAAACUUCCUGACAGGAUCCAUUAAAAAGGAGAAGGACAGGUGGCAUGUUCUCAGGUAAAUUCAUGCACAAGGAUGGGAUGGUUUGACAUUCCACACAUAAAUGCUUCAUUUGCAGAGCUCUCAACCUUCACUAUAAUUCCUCACUAAAGGAAAACUAUGAUUUUGUGUUUUAUUAUAUUUCUAAUAUAAAUUCUUUAUUAUCAUUGUCAUUUCUGUUCUACAUUCUGCUUUCCACUCUUUCCUGCCUCUUUUAUUUUCCAAUAAGAUCUAUCUACAUCAAUUAAUGACCUGAAAUAUUUACAAAUUUUCUGAUAUUAGAAUUGACUAUUGAAACAAAAUUCCUACUGAGCUUAACUUCCGACAUUAUUUAUCACUGAGAAAAGGUGCAUAUUUCAUGAAAUGUUUGGAUGUUGGGUACUUUGAUUUCAUGAAAAAGUCACAAUGUCCUCCCUCUUAAUAUAUAACAUUUUAAAAUUGCAGAUUUCUGAUAACACAGAGAAUUCUUUAGUUAAAUGCUCUUUCCUGUGGCAAAUAAGGAUUCAAACCAUCAUAACAAAGCAAAAUUGAAUUUUCACUUCAGAGUCCAUUGGCAUUCAAGAAUGUGGCUAUCUAUUUCUGCAAGGAGGAAUGGGAAUGCCUGGACACAUCUCAGAGGAAUUUAUACAGAGAGGUCAUGUUGGAGAACUACAGCAACCUGGUUUCUGUAGGCCUUUCUGUAUCAAAACCAGAGCUAGUCACCAGGCUUGAACAAAACAACGAACCCUGGAUCAUGAACUUAGAAAUAGCAGAGUGUAGAGAACCAGAGAACCAAUACUGGAGAAAAAUCUUUCAUAUGUGAAGCAUGUGGCAAGUCUUUCACUCAGAGUUCAACACUUCAUAUUCAACAGAGGAUCCAUACUGGAUAGAAAUUAUACACAUGUAUAGAAUGUGGCAAGUCAUUUAACAAGGCCUCAAAUU